CUCCAAAAGUGUAACUUCUUAUUCAAAAAUGCUCAGUUUUCUGGGCAAUAACCCAGGGCAGUACUUUACCAGAGGUCUGCAGAAAGCAAAUCCAUCCUUUUCCUUUUCUUUUUCUGCCAAAGGAAUUGCAAUAGGCUCCCCACAUCACAGUCACUCCUCUCUCCUAGAAGAACAGUUGGAUAAAUCAUCACAGAGGUCUCCAGGGUUAAAUUCCAACCUCUCAGAGCAGAUCAGUUGGUUACCAAAAGACUUCAGCGGGCCCCGGAUAGCACUGCAACAUGACCAGCUGCUGCCAAAGGAUGCCUCUGCAGUAUUUUACUCAGAGAGGUAGCAAAUCUCUGCUUUCACCCAUGGCUGAAAAACAACAGGCACAUUUGGGAGGAACUGAGCUCCUGGGCAUGCUUUGCACCAUCAUCAAUCUCAGCCCUGCACCAACUCCUUGAGCAACCCCAAGAAAAAAGAAUCAAACAAACCAACAAAAAUUGACCCUUCUUGUGCCGCUGUCUGCAUUUCAUCUGCAAAGGGAAGAAAAUAGCAACUUCUUCUCAAUAUAAAAUGCCUGUCAAUCCAGAAGGAGACCUGCAGCUCUACAGAUGUUACCACAGACUGAUGAACAGCCAUCUCUGGCUACCGUCAGUAAAGCAAAACUUCUCUGGGAGAAAAGUCAAAAAUAAUUGCAACAAACAGAAAAUAUAUUUCAAUAUAAAUAUACGAUGCAUG
rnacentral:lncRNA from 1 species